rnacentral:rRNA from 1 species
UACGUAGGGAGCAAGCGUUGUCCGGAAUCAUUGGGCGUAAAGCGCGCGUAGGCGGCCCGAUAAGUCCGCUGUGAAAGUCAAAGGCUCAACCUUUGAAUGCCGGUGGAUACUGUCGGGCUAGAGUCCGGAAGAGGCGAGUGGAACUCCUGGUGUAGCGGUGGAAUGCGCAGAUAUCAGGAAGAACACCAAUAGCGAAGGCAGCUCGCUGGGACGGUACUGACGCUAAGGCGCGAAAGCGUGGGGAGCGAACAGG